GAAUGGUGAAUCCAUUGCUGUUUGGAGGAGUGAAGUGGUAUAAUUUUUUUUAAAGGCUCCCCAGGAACCAUCAGUGGAACAAGUUACUGGGAAUGUGUUGAGUCUCCUUAACUGGGGAGAGGACCCAAGGAUGUUACCAUUCAUGUUGAAGAGUGUUACCCCCGUGGAGAGCACAGACCUUAGGAUUAGGAUGGUAUGAGGUCAGGAUUGAC
rnacentral:lncRNA from 1 species